GGCGAUAUGGCCAAGUGGUAAGGCAGAAGAUUGCAAAUCUUUUAUCCCCAGUUCAAAUCUGGGUAUCGCCU
rnacentral:tRNA from 2 species